CACUGCUGCAGUGGGUCCGAACUGCAUAGGACCUGGCCUUCUGGAGAGUUCUCCAGGCACUGCAUCCAGGGCUGGAGGGGUGGAGCCUAACGGCAUAGACCACACCUGUGGCACAAAGACAAUCCCGCCUCAGAGCUCAGCAUGUAGAACCUCUGAAGCCGCCACUUUCCGCCCAGGGAUUCCAUCUGGAGAAUAACAGCCAGUUGAGGUUUCUGCCAGCCCAGGUCUCAAUGAGGGAAGCGGAACCAAGACUCCGAGGCUGCAGAUACUUCCCAAAUACUGAUGUGAAAAAGAGACCAUAAGAAGAAAGGAAGUUUCCCCAUAUUGAGGGAUGGAGUUCAGAGUCCAAGGCACCCAAUGAGUAUGGGACUCAUGGAACCAAGGUCUGAGACUGGGGUAACCGCAGAGAAGAUGACCACAGAUCUACAAACAGAUCUCCUUUUCUGUGGCCCACUUCAAUGACACACAGGUACAAGGGCUUCCUCAAAGGCAUAUAUUUGCUUUGCUUACUGACGUAAUGGACACUUUUAGAAGACAAAGU